UAAACCGGAGGAAGCGGGGAUGGCGUCAAGUCCUCAUGGCCUUACAUCCCGGGCUACACACGUGCUACAAUGGCAGGUACAGAGGGCUGCGAAGCCGCGAGGUGGAGCGAAUCCCAGAAAACCUGUCUCAGUCCGGAUUGAAGUCUGCAACUCGACUUCAUGAAGGCGGAAUCGCUAGUAACCGCGAAUCAGCAGGUCGCGGUGAAUACGUUCCCGGGCCUU
rnacentral:rRNA from 1 species